rnacentral:tRNA from 1 species
GGGCGCAUGGUCUAGGGGUAUGAUUUUCGCUUCGCAUUCGCAAAAUGCUUUGCUCUGCCUGUGAAAGGUCGUGGGUUCAAUUCCCACUGUGUCCA